AUUGAACGCUGGCGGCAGGCCUAACACAUGCAAGUCGAACGGUAACAGGAAGAAGCUUGCUUCUUUGCUGACGAGUGGCGGACGGGUGAGAAAUGUCUGGGAAACUGCCUGAUGGAGGGGGAUAACUACUGGAAACGGUAGCUAAUACCGCAUAACGUCGCAAGACCAAAGAGGGGGAGCUUCGGGCCUCUUGCCAUCGGAUUUGCCCAGAUGGGAUUAGCUAGUAGGUGGGGUAACGGCUCACCUAGGCGACGAUCCCUAGCUGGUCUGAGAGGUUGACCAGCCACACUGGAACUGAGACACGGUCCAGACUCCUACGGGAGGCAGCAGUGGGGAAUAUUGCGCAAUGGGCGCAAGCCUGAUGCAGCAAUGCCGCGUGUAUGAAGAAGGCCUUCGGGUUGUAAAGUACUUUCAGCGGGGAGGAAGGGAGUUAAGUUAAUACCUGUGCUCAUUGACGUUACCCGCAGAAGAAGCACCGGCUAACUCCGUG
rnacentral:rRNA from 1 species